rnacentral:misc_RNA from 1 species
UGAUUUAGUAUUCCUCACUCAAGCCAAAACAAGUAGACAAAUCUAAACCUGCGAGAGUUUAGACUCAUAGACCAACACCAUCAUUAUAUACAUUUAAGCUAAACACUUUGAGGCUAAAAGCCAUGUCCAAACUAUGUACACCUUACACAUAAAAAAUAGAAAUAAAUAGUGAUCCGGGGAAUUUAUUAUAAAAUAGGAAUCUCUAUUUCCCCAGGGGAACUGAUCAAUGAAUUAUUUGUUUAAUCUUUCUUAAUACUUAAGAUUACUACUUAAAGUAGUAUAUUUAUCUUGCAUGUUUUUACAUUUUUUUCCCACAAACAAUAAUCAUUGUGCACCGAUUUAGACAUAAAUUCUUUUUAAAUUAUUAUUUAAUAUGACACUAAUAAGAUGGUGUAAACUAGUAGAGAGAGUUGUGGUGGUGUAACUAGUGUAAACUAGAGUUUCCAUUUGUUAAUUUAUUUCCAAUGCAUACAUAGGUACUAAUGUAAAAUUCGACUUCUCUUCCUCUUUUUGUCAUUGAUAUGCGCCUGCAUUGGACAAGAGCUUAAUGGCUACAUAAAUCCAAUAUGGGUUAUGGGUAGCAGAGGACGAGGUAGAGCCCUAAACUCAAGAUAUUUGACCAACAACGUUUAUAGGGAGCCAAGGGUUAUAACUGACUUGGUUUACAUGGAUGAAAACGGAAGAUACCAUCCAGUAUACAGGCAAGAAAGGAUGUAUAGAUCACAAGCAGCUGAGCCAUACUACAGAGACAACGAACAAUACAUGCCUCUUGCAAGCGAACAGAACGUACUCCAAGCUGACAAUGUCUAAAACCUAGUAAAGCUUCCACCUAUACAGAAAAUCUUUUAAAAUAAUUAGCAAUUUUGUUAAUUUGUGUAAAUUCCACUAUAACAUUAAUUAUAUAAUAUACAAACCAAAUACAUCAGUCAAUAUGAUCAUUUUAUAAAAUUAUUACUCUAAUGAUUUUGUAACAAUUUGGGACAUUAUUGUGUAAAUUCAGAACAGAGCCAGAAAUGUCAAAAAUGGUAUUUAAAUUGAUGCAAUUCUUGUCAAACAUUACAUAAGUUAAUGUAAUUACAUAAGUACACAAUUGCCAAAUGCAAACAUAAGUCAAUUUUAUGUAGCACAAUGUUACUUUUUGAAUAAAUAUAAAUCAUAACUUUGGUUCAACAAAUACUUCUCACAUUGAGCACCGGUAAUUACAAGACAACUAAUGUAUAAAAGUUUGCUAAUAAAAUAAACGCGUCAAAAAAGGGAUUCAUAAAAAUUAAUUUAAUAUAAUUAAUAUAAAUUUAAAUAAAAUUAAUUAAUACAAAGGAAAGUAACUAAUGAAGACUUUACAUGGAGUGGUAAAAUAGAAAAAACUCUUAGAAGUGUUGAUUGAAUGAAAAUUUGUACGAGACAAUCACAAACCAAUUAAACAUAUUAGGUGUGUAAAUACCACUCCCUAUACAAUUCAAAAACCAGUGUUUGCCACCCUAAUUUGUCCAAUAAUGGUUGUAUCAAUGUUGUACCAUAUGAUUAAAGAUGCAGACAAAAUAAAUGUCUAAGAUUUCUAGGUCCAAACUUUUCAUGGCAUAUGUAUAUAAAAGUGCAUACUCACUUGAACAUUCACCAAUGUCUUGAAUCUUUUGGUGAUUUUUUUGUAUUAUUAUAACAAAGUAAAAGACAUACAUGAUUGGAAAUUGCAUCCAAAAUUUACUUAAUUAAUGGUAAGCGAUUUAUGAUUAUAAAGAAUAUAAAGCAUCAAGGGUUUGUUCUGAAGGGAAAAUGCGGAAAAAAAACUAAUGGACAGGUUAAGUACUAAUAAAUCUCAAUUAUUGGACCGAAUGAACAAUUAUAUUCAGGAAGGAAAAAGUAAGUACAAUUGAGAUCACCACUUGAUAAAUAACCUGCCUUUACAGCCCACGUGGACGUACAGAAAAUUAUAAUAAGCUUGAUACCUAGGUACGAUACAAACCCAACCAAAUAUAA